GAUGAACGCUAGCUACAGGCUUAACACAUGCAAGUCGCGGGGCAGCAUGGGGGUUGCUUGCCACCCCUGAUGGCGACCGGCGCACGGGUGAGUCACGCGUAUCCAACCUGCCCUUCACCACGGGAUAACCCGGCGAAAGUCGGACUAAUACCAUUUGUUGUCAAUUGACGGCAUCCGAUUUGGACGCAGUUUUUGGCUGAGAUAGGAUGGGGAUGCGUCCGAUUAGCUUGACGGGUGGGUAACGGCCCACCGUGGCUACGAUUGGUAGGGGUACUGAGAGGAAGGUCCCCCAGACUGGAACUGAGACACGGUCCAGACUCGUACGGGAGGCAGCAGUGAGGAAUAUUAGUCGAUGAGCGUAAGCCUGAACCAGCCAAGUAGCGUGCAGGAUGACGGCCAUAUGGGUUGUAAACUGCUUGUAUGCGGGGAUAAAGUGGCCCACGUGUGGGCUUUUGCAGGUACCGCAUGAAUAAGGACCGGCUAAUUCCGUG
rnacentral:rRNA from 1 species